CUGAUGGCGACCGGCGCACGGGUGAGUAACACGUAUCCAACCUGCCGAUGACUCGGGGAUAGCCUUUCGAAAGAAAGAUUAAUACCCGAUGGCAUAGUUCUUCCGCAUGGUAGAACUAUUAAAGAAUUUCGGUCAUCGAUGGGGAUGCGUUCCAUUAGGUUGUUGGCGGGGUAACGGCCCACCUAGUCUUCGAUGGAUAGGGGUUCUGAGAGGAAGGUCCCCCACAUUGGAACUGAGACACGGUCCAAACUCCUACGGGAGGCAGCAUG
rnacentral:rRNA from 1 species